CUACGGGAGGCUGCAGUGGGGAAUAUUGGACAAUGGGGGAAACCCUGAUCCAGCAAUGCCGCGUGUGUGAAGAAGGCCUGCGGGUUGUAAAGCACUUUCGGUUGGGAGGACUGCUUCUAGCACUAAUAUUGUUGGAAGUUGACGUUACCUUCAGAAGAAGCACCGGCUAACUCCGUGCCAGCAGCCGCGGUAAUACGGAGGGUGCAAGGGUUAAUCGGAAUUACUGGGCGUAAAGCGCGCGUAGGCGGCUAGAUCAGUCGGGUGUGAAAGCCCCGGGCUUAACCUGGGAACUGCAUCCGAUACUGUCUAGCUUGAGUACAGGAGAGGAGAGUGGAAUUCCACAUGUAGCGGUGAUAUGCGUAGAUAUGUGGAGGAACACCAAUGGCGAAGGCAGCUCUCUGGCCUGAUACUGACGCUGAGGUGCGAAAGCGUGGGGAGCAAACAGGAUUAGAUACCCUUGUAGUC
rnacentral:rRNA from 1 species